UCAAAUUUUUGUUGGGGAUAUACUAUGUGCUAAAUAUUGUUAAGGACCCUUAGAAAGGACUUUAGAUCUGCUGUUACUUAUGUCUGCCUUUAACCGAAUAUGCAGAAUCUUUGUGAUCGACUUGCAGUACCUGCUGAAAUUAUUAACAAAACAAUCAUAAUUGACACUUGUGUGUUAAAUUGUUACGGUGCUUUGGGCCUUCAGCAUAUGCAUCAAUCAUAUUUUAUAUGUUAAUAUAUAAAAUUAACUUAGUUUGUUAUUGAUGACAGUACUUUUUAUUUUGAACAAUGACAAACUAAAACAAUGAGACGUUAAACAUAUCUAAAGGAAUUAUUCUUAAUAGGUAAGGAAAUUACCUAUAUAAAUUUUGCAGCUAGUAUCGUUAGGUUUUGUUUGCUUUACAUCUCAUGAAUAUAAUAAAUUUUAAACGUGUGUGAAAAAAGAAAUAUAAUUGUAUAAAUAAUACAGUAUGAGUAGUGGCCAGUUAUACUUGACAAACAGUGUAUUGUAUCUACAAAGAAAACUGAAAUCGAACAUUUCGUCUGUAUUUUUAUUAUUAUAUAAAUGUCUAAAAUGUUAUCACAAUUAUGUGUUAUAAUUUAUAAAUACAGUAAACGGUUCAAAUUCUCAGUAGAUGUAUGAAAUUUUAGGUGACGAAAGGAUAAGUUUUUUACAUUAUUUGGAAUGGUACCUACAAAUGAAAACAACUGGUAGGGCGAAAUCUGUUCUUAUAUUCAAAGAUACUGAAAUAUUAAUGAAAGUGUUCAUGUGUACAGUUACACAAUAUGCAACAUGUAUUGGUAUGUGAUAAUGUUAUUAGACUUUAACCAAUUUACCAACUAUAACACUAUUAUGAACUUUUAUUCACAUAAUAUCUUUUGCUAUUUGAUACUUAUAAUACGUGAAAUUUAAUAUUUUGAAUUACAUUUUAAAUUUGAAAAAGUUUGAAGCGCACUUGUCUUUAAUUUUCAUAUUAGUAAAUUAAAUAAGAAACAAAAGUACCUGGCAUUACAGUUAAUGAUGAAUAUAAUUGAUUAUUGUACCAAUAAGAGAAAUCUACAAGACUUGAAAAUCCAACAGUAGACAAAAAUGUUGACCUUGACUAAUUUCGUUGACGUUAACAUUCUAUCGCGAAGUUUCUUUAUUAAUGUAAAUAAAUCAUAGCAUUUUACAUGAGUUAUAGCGAACAAAUAUUCAAAGAAUAUAUAAUUACGUGAUUUUAGGUUAUAUAUACCAUUUAAAUCGAAUUAUAUUUGAUAUUUCGAGAUGAUAUUACUAUUAAUAGUAUAUGUUUUUAAAGUAAUUUUAGACAACAACAAAAAUCGACUUUCACUUUGAUUUGGGAUAUUUAGACCUUAAUUUGAUUACAUUAAACUUUCUAGAGGAAUAACAACAAAAACAGGGCUUUCUGCAAAUAUUACUAAAUAUCUGUAAAAAUCUAAUAGUGAUACGAUAAUAAAGAUAAGAAUUUUAUUAAUUCAUAGGUAAAUGUAUAUUUCAAUAAUGAUAAAAUGGUAAUGAUAGUAUAUACAACAUUAGUGAUGCUACUACGGAUAUUCACGAUAUGAUAUGCUUUAUUAAUACUUGUACAAUGACUUAGUGUAUUACACAUAUUAUGUAAAAAAUUAUUUGCAAUAAAUAAAUUUUGCAAUAUACAGCAUUUUAUCAUUACGAUUCUUUCUACCCUUAGAAAUUGUUGUAUAUUCUCGUUUGAAAACAACUUUAAAUGAUAAUAUGGCAACUUCCUUUUCCAUCAUGGCGAUACUUCCUACCAACAGUUCCCGAGUUUGCCGAGAACUUGGCGCGACGUACAAUUUCCCCAACACGGGUUCGAAAUCACCGAUCUGUAUGCGACCGCGUAUCGAUGCCAGUAAAUGCAAUGUCGGGUGGGUAUAAAGGUGAGCGGUGGGGUUAGGCACGGGGGGAAAGAGGCAAAGAAAAGGUAAAGGUUAGAAGAGGUUAUGAACUCUAACCCACGGAUGGUUGACGAAGCUUAGUUGUUGCUAUGAACUGUCCAAAUGACGCGUAGUCAGAUCACUCGUCGUUGUUAAUAAUAAAGAGAGACAUGGAACGGGAUCAGAACAAUCACGUUGAUAACGUACACGAUGAGAAAGUUGACCAUAAAAUGGGUAGAGAUUUUCGUAACUUAGGAUCUCAUGCUGGCAUGGUUCACUUACACUCGGGAAUGGAGCAUUUAAAUAAUGUCGACGUAGAAGUAAAAUUGGCCAGAGAUGUUCGUGGCUCUUUAGGUUUGGGACUAUCGCUAGAAUUGUGUGUAGUCUGUGGAGACAGGGCUAGUGGAAGACACUAUGGAGCAAUAAGUUGCGAGGGUUGCAAAGGUUUCUUUAAACGUAGUAUUCGAAAACAAUUGGGUUAUCAAUGCAGAGGAAGCAAAAGUUGCGAAGUUACCAAACACCAUAGAAAUCGGUGUCAGUAUUGUAGACUUCAGAAAUGCCUUGCAAUGGGGAUGAGGAGUGACUGUAUGUCUGUUUGGAGUAUCAUAUCUGUUCAACACGAGAGAAAACCAGUUUUGGGUGAAUCCGCGGGAGCAAAAGUCGGAAAUCGAAGCCCUAGAGUUAAACCAGAACCACAGCAAUCAGUAUCUGAAACACCUUCGACCUGGGAGCAACCCGAAAGUCCUAGUAUGGAAGAUCAAAGUAGCGAUAGUGACCUCAGCGAUGCGUUAACAUUAGCAAGAGAACGGUUACUUAUUUCACAUGCAUUGGAUAGCAUGGCUAAGCUUAUUGGAGAUAGCGUUAAUGGUUCAAGUGAACCAGAAGAAGAGUGGACUGGUCAGUUAAUUUCUGAAAGGCAUACGCUAUUUGAGUUAAGAGCACCUAGCCCAGCCCCCGCGUACUUAUCGAUACACUAUAUUUGUGAGAGUGCUGCUAGAUUACUUUUUCUGUCAGUUCACUGGGCAAGAGGAAUUCCCGCGUUCCAAGCAUUACCAUCCGAAGUUCAAACAACAUUGGUACGCACUUCUUGGGGACAGCUUUUUACUUUAGGUCUUGCACAAUGUGCAUACACUCUGUCUCUUCCUAGUAUUUUAACAUCAAUAAUAAAUCAUUUACAAGCUAGUAUUGCACAGGAAAAAAUUACAGCUAGUAAAGUAAAAUCCGUAACAGAACAUAUAUGUAGACUACAAGAUUGCGUUAGUUCACUUCAUAAGUUACAAGUGGAUUCUAUUGAAUAUGCGUACCUUAAAGCGUUAACGCUUUUCAGUGCUGACAAUAUUUUAGCCGGGGUUUGGCGUAAAAAAGUUGAAGUUUUACAAGAAGCUGCGUGGACAGAGUUGCAACAACGUGUUGCAUCUGACCGAUUACCUCGCCUUCUUUUGAGGCUUGCACCACUUCGUUCAAUUAACCCUAGGGUUUUGGAAGAUUUGUUUUUUGCAGGUCUUAUCGGUAGAGUAAGCGUAGCUAGUGUUGUGCCUUAUAUUCUUACUAUGCACGAUUACAAAACUGAACCUGAAAGUCAUAUGGGGUGACAAUUACUAUCUGUGCAAUGUAAGUCGUGACCUAUCAAAGUGAUAUAUAUAUAUAUGUAUAUAACGUAUGUAUACAUACGUUAGUGUUGAAUGCCUUGAAUAUUUUUAUACACUGAGAAAGAAAGAAAAAACAGAACGAGGCAAAGUUAAUCUUUAUUUUUCAUAAAAUGGACUACGAUUCUUUACAUGCCUCUUUUUAAAUAAAGGUGUUGAAACUCAGGGUAGUAUUUUAACUUGUUAAUCAGAUAUAAUAUCUAGUUUAUAAUGUUCUGAUUAACAUUCUUUUAUUUAUUAUAUAUUGACUGCCUGAUGUACAAAACUUUCCAUAUUGUUACUAAAACUUACAUUAAUAUCAUUUUCACUGCUAUAAAUUUAUCGUUUCAAUUCGAAUGUAGCAGUAUCAUAUAAAUAUAUAAAUACUUUGUUAUGUACUUCUCAAGGACGUCAAUAUAUCUGGAAAGUUUUGUAUCGGCACACAGUCUAAAAAGAACGUGCGGGGCAAUAUUAUUAUACUUAUAAUUUAUUAUUAGUGGAAGAUUAGCCCUUGACCGAAUUAGUAAUUUGGUACUGUAUUGAUUAAAAUUUUUUAUUUAAAAAGUAUAAUUAUUGAAAAAGUUGAUUGACAUAUUUUUUUUUUCAAAUUGUUCUUUCGAUGUAAUGCAAAUCUAAAAUUAGAAAAAAAAUCAAAUUACACGUACACUGAGCUUUCCCAAGAAAAUUGAUAUAUUAAUAAUAAUAUUUCAUUAUAAUCGAUGCAUUUCCGUCCGUCAAAAGAAGUCAUUACCGUCUUAGUUUUGAUGAGGAUCAAAAUUCAAGCGUGUCUUUAGACGUUAAUAUAAAUGCCACGAUUUUUUUAAAUGGUACUAUUUGAAUAUUUGCAUUAGUACUGCAAGAAAGUAAGAAAAGAAGAUAAUAAUUCUACAUAAGUUUAGUACAAAAGAAUCGCAUAUUUCGUUAUUAUUGAAGACAUUGCUUAAUCUUACUUUGACCAUGCAACUGAAAUAUGCACAUAUUUUACUUAUUUUCCUAGAAACUGAUCAUACUACAUGGUAUAUUUCUAGGCUGUGUUUUAUUGUAGUUUAAGAAUAAAAAAUGCAUUGUGUUUAAUGGUUCUUUCAAAAUCAUAGGACGUGCAAUAGUACUAACUCGUAAAAAUGAAUUAAACGUGGUAAAUAUUCCAUAAUCCUAAUGUAUUGUCAACAUAGGUAAUAGAAUAGUCAAUUUUAUGUUUUAAAUUGAAAAUUGACAUAGUUCAAAUAAUACGGUAUUAAUUAAAUUCGUUAAACUUCAAGUAUUAUUUACUUCUUCAAAAGGGACAAUAAAAAUAUAUUUUUUAUGGAAAGCAGGAAUACUUAUCAGAUUAGAAGAAGUGUAUUAAGAAUUAAUGUAUAUGCGUUUACUUAACCGAAUGUACAUUUUAUAUCUUAUUGUUAACUGUAAUUAGAUAACCUAAUAUUGAAUAUACAGAUAGUAGCAAAAGUAGCAUUAAUGGUUGUAGGUUAAGAUUAUUGAUAAAAAAACAAUAAUCUUGUAUAUUUAAUGUUAUUAAUAAUGUUUAGAUCAUUGAUAUUUUUCCAAAAUAUAUUGAGGUGAGUCGUUAAAUAUUUUUAAACUAUCCAGAUAUGUUAAUGCUCACUGAAAAUGUUUUUGCUGGUUAUGAGAUUUCCAUAAACAUCUUCAUAAUUUAUAAGCGUGUAUUAUAUUUGUAGCAAUGUUUAAUAUCUACUUAAACGUAAGCAUCUUCUUAAAUUCGAUAAUCCAAAGAUUAAACAACAAUACAUUUUUUUACAGAUAUUCGUGUAAAUUAUACUUGAUUGAAAUUUGAUAUAAUUCUUAGACACUACUAAUAGUAUUCAAUAAUUUUAUUUUAAUUAAGAAUAGCUACAAUUUCAUCAUAAAAUGGCACUGUGGUGCAUUGUAUUAAUGAUGAUGAUUUUGCAUAAAAUUUAGUCCUGCACACAAUGAUGUCGACAUUGAUACAUUUGUACCUUCUGGAAGAAACUGUUAUUCAUUGUACGUUAUUAUGUACUACAAUAGUCUAACAACAAAAGAUGUAAUCUAAAUCAAAAUUAUCUCUCUAUGGUUCAUGUAUUUUGCGUAAUGGAAUUUUUAUGUGUGAAAUAUUUGAAGGACAAUACAUUUAAAAAAGAUUUGACCUGUGCAAGAAACAAAUGUGUAAAUAUAAAAUGUGCCUGGAUGAAAAAAAAAAAAUAUUUAUAUUAAAUCUAGUAGUUUUGUAAUUAUGUAAGUUACGAAAUGCAAGAGACCUGAAGAUUGUUGCCCCCUUCAGUUUUAUUAUAUUGAAGAAUUAUAUGUAUAUGUGUAUAUGUACACAUGUCUAAUUGUGGUAUAACGUAAAAUAACACAUAAUUGAAAUAAAAGAAUUAACGAUUAGCUUGUAAGUUUACCUGGAGUUUUUAUUUUUAAAACGCGUUAUCCCCGGAAAAAGAACACGUAUAACUAAAAAUGACUCACUGAGGGGGGACACGGAGGGACCCAAAUAUUCACAGUUUAGACUCGUCCCUGCGUAGUGACUCACAUCCCAAGAUUGCUUGUAGAGGCGCUUUGCCGCCAUAGCCGCUUUAUCCGCUCGUGUUUGUGAAUUGGUUUUUCUUAUGAAAGUCGGAGUCGUUGAGUGAACUUCGGUACGGUUAGUGGUCGGUGGAAUACUAUGGACGCAGAAAACGUCGCGUUUGGUUAAGUUCCAUUAUUAAUCCGUUUUUCUCAGCGAGAAAAUCAGUGUUCUAACCAACGCCACCGAAUAUUUUAAUGCUCCUGUAAAACCGGCUAUUCCACGGACAGGUAGACAGGUAUUCCAAUCUGUUCGACCGUUUGGAAGUUGGGUGACACACCUCCGAAGAACUUCCCAUCUAACUGGUUUUUUUUCUUCACGGAAAAUACGGACAGAAGUAAGGUUACACGACAGAUAUCUGUGGACGUUCAUUUUCGGGCCCAUUUACACGAAUCCGUAGAAUCAGUGCGAUACGUAUCGUGACAGAACGCAAUUUUUAAAAUAUCACCGAGUGUUUUCACAACAGUGUCAAAUAAAAUGUUGUAACAGUGGUGUUUCCUCCCUCUCGUAUUAUGCGUUGCUAUCUCGUGGCGGGAAAUUGGUUUUGAAGAAGUAAACGUCAUUAGUUUUCAGCUGGCCUCCCCCCUCUGUGAUUAUUCUUCGGAUAACGAAUUUUGAGUUGCGAUUAGGAAAAUUCUUAAUUUUAUUCGACGACACACGGGGCACACGGUUUAUCCAUAACGACCGCUACUGGCUGUACUCUUGCAUUACCGAGAAUUCUUUGGAGUUUUGGCUUUUCCCGGAAGGCGAUGCUUUUUAUCUUCUCAUCAACGAUCUGAUUAAAGCUUUCGAAACUUAACAAAAAAAAAAAAA